rnacentral:rRNA from 1 species
GAGGAGCUUGCUCCUCUGACGUUAGCGGCGGACGGGUGAGUAACACGUGGAUAACCUACCUAUAAGACUGGGAUAACUUCGGGAAACCGGAGCUAAUACCGGAUAACAUGUUGAACCGCAUGGUUCAACAGUGAAAGACGGUCUUGCUGUCACUUAUAGAUGGAUCCGCGCCGCAUUAGCUAGUUGGUAAGGUAACGGCUUACCAAGGCAACGAUGCGUAGCCGACCUGAGAGGGUGAUCGGCCACACUGGAACUGAGACACGGUCCAGACUCCUACGGGAGGCAGCAGUAGGGAAUCUUCCGCAAUGGGCGAAAGCCUGACGGAGCAACGCCGCGUGAGUGAAGAAGGUCUUCGGAUCGUAAAACUCUGUUAUUAGGGAAGAACAAAUGUGUAAGUAACUAUGCACGUCUUGACGGUACCUAAUCAGAAAGCCACGGCUAACUACGUGCCAGCAGCCGCGGUAAUACGUAGGUGGCAAGCGUUAUCCGGAAUUAUUGGGCGUAAAGCGCGCGUAGGCGGUUUUUUAAGUCUGAUGUGAAAGCCCACGGCUCAACCGUGGAGGGUCAUUGGAAACUGGAAAACUUGAGUGCAGAAGAGGAAAGUGGAAUUCCAUGUGUAGCGGUGAAAUGCGCAGAGAUAUGGAGGAACAUCCAGUGGCGAAAGCGACUUUCUGGUCUGUAACUGACGCUGAUGUGCGAAAGCGUGGGGAUCAACAGGAUUAGAUACCCUGGUAGUCCACGUCGUAACGAUGAGUGCUAGUGUUAGGGGGUUUCCGCCCUAGUGCUGCAGCUACGCAUAGCACUCCGCCU